rnacentral:misc_RNA from 1 species
AAGUCGUAACAAGGUUGCACGUGCAUACACCAAACGCAAUAGUGUUUGUCGUACCAUCCCACGGAAGCCUUGUAGUUCCGGUCUGCUUUUUUCGCAGGCAACACUUGUACUGUUGCUGGAAACAAAUCCUCUUAAAAACGAGGUCAACCAGCUGCUAUCUUAAACUCAGGUAGCCCACAGAUCAAACACAAGUGGCCAGAAUAAGGCUGCCUUAACCGUGGAGGCGAUUCUACUCCACCGAUUGAUGUAACUUCUGGUUCAGAUAUGACCGUAGCUUGUCUUGAAAAAGACUCGAUACCUAGUUCCGUAGGUGAACCUGCGGAAGGAUCAUUACAGAGAAAAGAGUUUCGGCUCUUGGGGUUUCGGCCCCAACUCUUCACCCUUUGAUAAUAUACCUUUGUUGCUUUGGCGAACCUUGGGUUUCCACGCCUGCUCUUGUUGGCGAGUGUUCGUCAGAGGCCAUUCAACUCGUCUUCAAUGCAGUCAGAGUAAAAUCUAAAUUAUCUAAAA